UUGACCUCGGAUCAGGUAGGGAUACCCGCUGAACUUAAGCAUAUCAAUAAGCGGAGGAAAAGAACCAACAGGGAUUGCCCUAGUAACGGCGAGUGAAGCGGCAAGAGCUCAAAUU
rnacentral:rRNA from 1 species